CACCCUCUACGGUUCCUCAAGCCUCACGUAUCAUCCUUUCUCCCCGACCUCAUUGUAGGGGGCUGUGUCCUAGACCCUUUGGACCCUUUUGCCAGACUUUACACCUGAUCCUCCCGGCCAGGGACCCCGGCCGCCACCCUCCCGACCACCCCACCCACACUCCAAACCUCACCAACCGUCCAC
rnacentral:lncRNA from 1 species